rnacentral:ncRNA from 1 species
UUAUUUCACUAGGGGAGUCUACUUGACUGAGAUGGAGUUCAACCUCCGGACCCUUGGAACCUGAUCUGGAUCAUACCAGCGGAGGGAAGUGGAACCGGACUUUC